rnacentral:rRNA from 1 species
AUUGAACGCUGGCGGCAGGCCUAACACAUGCAAGUCGAGCGGAUGAGAGGAGCUUGCUCCUUGAUUUAGCGGCGGACGGGUGAGUAAUGCCUAGGAAUCUGCCUGGUAGUGGGGGAUAACGUUCCGAAAGAAACGCUAAUACCGCAUACGUCCUACGGGAGGAAGCAGGGGACCUUCGGGCCUUGCGCUAUCAGAUGAGCCUAGGUCGGAUUAGCUAGUUGGUGAGGGAAUGGCUCACCAAGGCGACGAUCCGUAACUGGUCUGAGAGGAUGAUCAGUCACACUGGAACUGAGACACGGUCCAGACUCCUACGGGAGGAAGCAGUGGGGAAUAUUGGACAAUGGGCGAAAGCCUGAUCCAGCCAUGCCGCGUGUGUGAAGAAGGUCUUCGGAUUGCAAAGCACUUUAAGUUGGGAGGAAGGGCAUUAACCUAAUACGUUAGUGUUUUGACGUUACCGACAGAAUAAGCACCGGCUAACUUCGUGCCAGCCGCCGCGGUAACAC